ensembl:lncRNA
GCGGGUGUAAAAUCAUUAAUGACGGGGUGUAAAAAUGUUCCAUGACCUGUUUAACGUCAUGGGAACUAGAAGCAACGAGCACAGAAUAGAUGGUGCCAGUUGCUCGUCAGCACGGGCAAUGUCGCUUCUCGGUGCACCGGUAGGUACCUGGUCCAUUGGGAGCGUGUCUGGGACAGGGACUCGCGGGUGUAGACGGGCACGGGCUGGUGGACACGAGCACCGGAGAGCAGUGAGCGUCGCUCCUUUGCUGGGGUCGGGGUGGGGGUAGAGGGGGAAGAGGCACCCAAGGGGAACAAGCAGAUGCUGCCUUUGGGGGCCCACAAAUAAACGCUCUGCUCCCCAAGCUUGCCAAGGGCUGGGUCCCCUUAGGCCCACGCGCCUGACCUUACGUGUUUAGGCUCACGCGUGCUCACGCAUGAUGCACGGUCUACAAACAAGGGGCUGCGGAAGCGGCUGCUUCGAGAAGGCUCCUGGGUGAAUGCAGAGAUCCCUGCCUACCCAGUGCCAGCUGGCUUCCUGAGAGAGGGGCACCCUCCCCUCUGCCACCUCGCCCUUUGCCAUUUCCCCCCAAAUUCCUGCACCUCUGCCCCCUUCCUCCAGGGAGCAAGUUGGGCCCUAGAAACCAGAACCCCUCGCCUUUCUCCAAGGACAGGUCUGCAUGGCCCGGCGCUUCAGAAACGCCGCGGGUUUCAAUCCUAAGGGGCGCCCGCCCCCGCCGCUCCGUGGAGCCAUAGUCCCGAGUAGCUUCGUGGUCUCAGAGAAGCCAUCGGGGCUGGCGGCCGGUGUCUGCUUUUCUGCACAUCAAGGAGACGAUCAGACCCUUCCGGAAAGUGGCCGGUUUUGUCCAGGGGCGUGUAAGGCUGCCUGGGAUCUGUCCUCCGUCCUUCACUCUCCCAUUAACCCAGUGUGGGGGGGGGACGGGGCCCCUUCCCUGACUUUUUUUUUUCACUUUAGCCUCCUCUUCUGCAUUGUUUUGUUUUGUCUUUUUUUUUUUUUUAAGCCUCUGUGCCCGGCUCCCAUUAUGGAAAGUGCUGUUUAUGUCCAGGGCCCCUUAAAAAGGCAGCUAACGGCUCCCUGGCUGCGGUCCUCCUGCUUGUUUCCCUGGCAACCGGAGGCAGGGAAAACAGAACCUGUCAGAUGGANGGAGGGGGGAGGGGGGAGCGGGAGGGGACCUCGGGGCCCACCCUGCCGCCACCCAGGCUGGCGCCCUGGCCCAGGCCAGCUAGUGGGCAGAGAGGCAGGCUGCUUAAGGGAGGGAGCUGCCCGCCCCAGCAGGGACCCUGGAGCAGUGGGGAGGAGCGGGUCCCCCCCAACAGGAUUAGCAGGAUGGUGCUGGAGCUGCCACCCCCUGCCCUGCCCAGCUGAUUAUCACAUUGUUUCAGAGGUACUUAGCUGGCUUUGACCUGCUGCUGUGGAGUCACCCCUGUGCCCUGGGCCGUCCAGACAGCCAGCGAGAGGUCAGCAGGAGGCCGGUGGGCAGCGCGAUGCUGCUCUGGCCCAGGACGUCGUUGGCGGAUACGGCCUCUGCCUCCAGGAUUUAUCGGGGGCUUGCCUACGCCCUUCUCUCAUCUGGAGAUCAGAGCCAGCAUCUGGGAGACACACGGUGCCCCCAGGGUGGUCUCCCUUGACCUCCACGUUGAAUCUGACAUGGAGCCUGACCAGUUACAUCUUUUAAAUAUUUCUUGGAUCUCCGCUUCUUUUCCGUUCCUAACACCAGGAUCCAAGUUCAGCCACCGAACUUUGUCCCUUUGGUGUUAAUUCAACUCCAAGCCCUGGCUGGCAGGACAGUUGAUGGAGAAUCUGAAUCUGGCCUCAUCUGCCCCAGCUCAGAGCCCUUUGAGGAUGCUCCAUUGUCUCCAGGGAAAAGCUGGGUUGCUGGGUGUGGCAUUCAAGGUCCCCCCGCCUGUCUGUCCUAACCCCAUCAACCCUUCCAGCUUUGUCUCCUGUUACUCCCUGCCUUUUAUGGGUCCACGGAAGCCAAACUGCCCUGGGGCCUCUGGCUGCCCACCGCAUACUUCCCAUUGUUAAAUUUGCCCCGUGCCUCAGAGCCUUGCUUGGCCCGGAAUGUCCUUCCCACCUCUACUAUCUUGUGUACCUGUAAUUUGUCCUUUCAGACAGCCGAGGCAUCAUCGGCUCCUCCAUCUCCUCCGUGUGCAUUUCCAAAUCCUCAGGUUGGGCUUGAUGCCCCCAGGUCGCUCAUGGGCAUCCUGUUGCUUGCCCAUGUGUGUGGAACAACCAGUUAAUAGGCCUACUGAGGGCUGGCAUGCCCAUCUCUGAGCCCUCAGCACCCACAGAGUCUGGCAAACAGGGAUGCUCCGGGCAAAAGUCUGCCAGGCAAAUCCCUGAGAGAGGGGAGAGCAGCCUGCAGGCCCCUGGCUGUCCCUGCACCUGCACACGCUACG